rnacentral:rRNA from 1 species
CAGAGGUCUCAAGCGUUGUUCGGAAUUACUGGGCGUAAAGGGUGCGCAGGCCGCGCGGGCAGUCAAAUGUGAAAUCCAGAGGCUCAACCUCUGAAUUGCGCUUGAUACUUCCGUGCUAGAACUUUGGAGAGGGAUCUGGAAUUCUCGGUGUAGCAGUGAAAUGCGUGGAUAUCGAGAAGAACACUCAGGGCGAAGGCAAGAUCCUGGACAAAUGUUGACGCUCAUGCACGAAGGCUAGGGUAGCGAACGGGAUUAGAUACCCCGGUAGUCCUAGCUGUAAACGGUGCACGCUUGGUGUGGGAGGCAACCCUUCCCGUGCCGAAGCUAACGCGAUAAGCGUGCCGCCUGGGUAGUACGGUCGCAAGACUA